AGAGUUUGAUCCUGGCUCAGAACGAACGCUGGCGGCAGGCCUAACACAUGCAAGUCGAACGAUGCCCUCGGGCAUAGUGGCGCACGGGUGAGUAACACGUGGGAACAUACCUUUUGGUGGGGGAUAACUUCGGGAAACUGAAGCUAAUACCGCAUACGCCCCAUGGGGGAAAGAUUUAUCGCCGAAAGAUUGGCCCGCGUCCGAUUAGCUAGUUGGUGAGGUAAUGGCUCACCAAGGCUCCGAUCGGUAGCUGGUCUGAGAGGAUGACCAGCCACACUGGGACUGAGACACGGCCCAGACUCCUACGGGAGGCAGCAGUGGGGAAUAUUGGACAAUGGCGCAAGCCUGAUCCAGCCAUGCCGCGUGAGUGAUGAAGGCCUUAGGGUUGUAAAGCUCUUCACCCACGACGAUGAUGACGGUAGGGAGA
rnacentral:rRNA from 1 species